UGGACACCCCAACCCUUCCAGGACCCUUGGGAUGGACACCCCAAACCUUUGGGACCCUCGGGAUGGGAUCUCCAUCACUUUAGGUUCUCCUUCCCAUCCUGGAAUGGGAAUCCCAAACCUUUGGGGUCUCCUCAGCCCUUUGGGGUCUCCUCCACCAUUUUGGGAUCUCCUGCCAUGGGAGUCCUGACCCCUCUCUGAUGUUUUUGGGGUCUCCUGGAUCAAUCCCAGCCCCUUCCCUGCUGGCCCGGGGAUUUUUUAGGGUCUGGAUUUUGAGGUCUGGACUUUUGGGGUUUGGACUUCAGGGUCUGGAUUUUUAGAGUUUGGAUUUUGGGGUGACACAGCGCUAGUGACCAAAGUUGUACAGGCAGGAGGGGGCUGAGGGUCCCCCCAGAACCCCCCUGGGGUAUCUUGGGGUCAGUUUGACCCCAAAAAACACAAAAAUAAGCACAAAAGUUCCCCCUGGGUGAACUCCUGUAAGUUAUUGGGAGAAGGUUGAAUUAUUUUUGUUAAUCACAUCUCGACGAUCAGUUCCUAGCUCCUUCCGCGGGGAGAUUUUAGAAAUAAUAAUAAUAAUUAAUUAAUAAUAAUAAUUAAUAAUUAAUAAUAAGCCAGGAAAAAAAAAAGAAAAAAAAAAAACAACAAAAAAAACUUUUUUAUUAAAUCUUCCUCUAUGCAAACCCCUCCUUUUCCUCCCCCCUGGGGAAUUCCUAUUUAUUGUUCAGGUUUUGAUUUGUAUU
rnacentral:lncRNA from 1 species